UCCUAAUCAAACAGCUUAAUUUGCUCCCAUUCUCUUCGUCUUCGCGAUCCCCAAGCUACUAAAAUGGAUCUCCGACGCUGAAAAAGCCUCGAUUUUGCGGCUUCUCCUCCUCUCCUCCUCCGCCGUUGAACCCAAUCGUUGCGGCGGCAGCGGAAUUGGGUGCCUUCGCGGGCGAAGAACUCGGAGCCGGUUCCAUGAGCCGCGGCGAUCGUUGAUCACGUGGAGGCGCGAUCGAGAGACUCCGCUUACCUCUAGGGUUCACUAUACAGGAUUUCGGAGUCACGGACGACAAAUGCCUGAAAACACUGGCAGUAACACAAAGGAGAAAAAACCUCGGCUUGCCCCUGCCGUUGUCUUCCCACCUCCUGUGCAGCCUCUAAGACCAGUUCAGAUACCAGGAAAUCCUUCCGUGGACCCACGUCUAGGGCAUGUAUGGCCUAGACAUCUGGUCCUCUUAUCUCCCUAUCCACCAUGGACGACUCAGCCGCCCGUUCCACGAGAGUCAAUCCCUUCGGAUUCGCAUCACCAUCACCAGAGGGAAAAGAUGUCGAAUGCGCCAAGGACUGAUGCUAAUACCCCAUUGGAGGUUAUUGAUGAAAAAUUGCUACCAAAGGUUGAUAUGUUAUUUGAUAGUGAGAACGAGGCUUAUGAGUUUUACAACACAUACGCUGAAAAUGUGGGUUUCUUCGUUCGAAGAUCAACAUUAUGGACAACAUCGAAGAACAUUAUUACAAGAAGGACAUUUGUAUGCUCACGAGAAGGCUUUCGUGAAAAGAAAAAAGGUGCUAAAGAGGCCAAGUGUCCGAGGCCUGAAACGAGAAUAGGUUGCCCUGCAUGCAUGACCAUCCGAUUGACAUCCAACGGCAAGUACCGCGUCACAGAAUUCGUUUCAAACCACAAUCAUAUGCUUGCGACAGUGUCAACAAUCCACAUGUUGCGAACUAAGAAGUUAAGAAGAAAAGCCCGGGCUGUUAGAGCAGAUUUAGUGGAUGAUUCAGUGACAACACCAGUUUUUGAAACAGAAGAUGAGGCCUAUGAGUUUUAUAGUAUGUAUGCAGGUAGGAUAGGGUUUAGUGUAAGGAGAGCAAGCAUGACAGUUAAUUCUGAUAAUGCUAUCACUAGAAGGAUGUUUGUGUGUUCAAGAGAAGGGUUUCGCGAAAAGAAAAAGGGUGCGAAGCGGGUCAAGAAACCGCGACCUGAAACCAGAACCGGUUGCCCCGCUUGUAUGAUCAUUAGACUUGGACAGGAUGGUAAAUAUCAUGUGUCAGAAUUUGUCACGUACCAUAAUCAUCAGCUUGCGGCCUCCUCUUCUGCUGAGUUGGUUAUGUCGAAUCGUGUGGAAAAUGAUCAGGAUAAUGAGUCUGAUUUGGGCGAUAAGUCAGGUGAUGAUACUAUUAAAAAGCAAGUUAAAGUGCAAGAAAAUCCAUCUAUAGAAUGUUUAGAUAGUAAAAAUAAUCUCAGAUCAAAAAGAAUGAAGGUCAUGCAUGUUGGAGAUGUAGGGGCUACGUUGGAGUAUCUUCAAAAGAUGCAGAGUGAUAAUCCCUCUUUUUCAUAUUCUUUACAUGUUGAUGAUGAUGAUAGUAUAACUGGUUUUUUCUGGGCAGAUGCAAAGUCCACGUUGGAUUUUAUCCAUUUUGGGGAUGUGGUAUGUUUCGAUACGACCUAUAAAGCUUGUGGCUACGGUAGACCGUUUGCAUUGUUCACAGGUGUGAACCAUCACAAGCAAACUGUUAUAUUUGGUGCUGCAAUUAUAUAUGAUGAAAGUAAAGAGUUUUUUCAAUGGUUAUUUGGGACUUUCAAGAUGGCGAUGAAUGGACGACAACCCAAGACGAUCUUGACUGACAGGUGUUCAGCAUUGAGUGAUGCAGUAGCUGCUGCUUGGCCUGGUACUACCCAUCGUUUCUGUGUGUGGCAGAUUUAUCAAAGUGCCCUUGUGCAGCUAAGUCAGGCGUUCCAUGGAUCGAGAACCUUGGGUUGUGACUUCAGCAGGUGCCUCUUUGAUUAUGAAGAUGAGGAUGAGUUCUUAUCAGCAUGGAGAGAAAUGUUGGAAAAAUAUGACCUCAAAGAUAAUCAAUGGUUGGCUAAGUUAUUCGAUGAAAGAGAGAAAUGGGCUUUGGUGUACGGGCGUGAAACAUUCUAUGCUGAUUUGAAAAGCGUCCAACACAAGGAGAGCUUGAACAUUGAACUUAAGAAAUAUUUAAGCCUAGAAACAGAGCUUUCGAGCUUCUUUGAGCAGUACGAAAGAAUUCUUGACGAGCGACGAUGUGCAGAACUACAAGCGGAUGUAAAUGCAAGUCAGAGUACUAAAAAACCACCUUCUAUGCGAAUGUUAAAGCAAGCUGCAAAUGUGUACACGCCUAAUGCGUUUAAAAUGUUCGAAAGAGAGUUUGAAUUAUACAUGGAUUGUAUGUUAUACAAUUCUGGUGAGGUUGGCACAAUAUCACAGUACAAAAUCACGGUUGAGGACAAACCCGGAGAUCACUUUGUUAAGUUUGAUUCAUUGGACGGCACAGUUAAUUGCACUUGCAAAAAGUUUGAAUUCAUCGGUAUUCCAUGCCGUCACGUGCUAAAAGUACUUGAUACUAGGAAUAUUAAAGAGCUUCCACCACAAUACAUUCUAAAGAGGUGGAGGAGAGAUGCUAAAAUUGGAUCUUUAAGUGGUAACUACACUUCAUUUCCAUUUGAUGGCGACACUCAGUCCUCUCAGGCGAAGCGCUACAACUAUUUGUGUCGCAUUUUCAGUAUAGCUGCGAGUAGAGCAGCUAGAAGUUUUGAUUCGUAUGCUUUCAUGGAAAGCCAAUCGGAUGUACUUUGGGAUCAAGUGGAGCAGGUUUUACAAAGUAGGCACCCUGAUAUGUCUACUCUCAUUAGUUCCAUCAGCGAUCGACCUCAUAAUCCAGUUGAAAAUGUAAUUGCCGGAUCAAUACAUUACGACAAGACCAACCAUACCAGUUUUAUUGGCAGUGCAGCUGAUGGUCCCUUAACUUUUCCAUUUACAUUAUCUUCUGGGACAUUGGAUUAUCGUUAAGCCAGGGUAAUCACUGUAGUAUUCUGGUUCGGACCAUGUGUUUCAGACUGUCAAUAUUGAAAUGAUGGUAAAUUUCAUUUCAAUAUUUCCGGUGAUGUAUCAGUGCCAUGAUCCCGUCAAAAUAUCACGGAGAAUGUGGUUCCACAAACAUCUCUCUAAAUUUUGCAAGUUGUUGUCAUUGGAGUAACUAAUUGGCUUGGUAAGAGAACAAGAAAGAGAAGAUUAGCAGAUUUUUUUUCUUUUAAGUAGCCACCCGAAGUAGAAUUACAAUCUCAAUUUUUCUAACAUAUUUAAGUUUAAUUUCUUAUAUUCUUUGUCACUUCUCACAUGUCUGAAACAAAACCACGGAAGUGUCUCUGUCAAUAGUACGAAGAUAAGAUGAAGCUGAAGCUGAAGCACAUGGAACAAUUUCCCCUAACCUAUGAUGUGGUCAACACAGUGAGAAAUAUAUGUGCUAUUUGCACAAAAAGAGUAUCCAUACCUUUCACCACAUAGCCACGAAAUUGUAAAUUUUUGUCCUCAUUUUAACUAGCUUUGAUUGUCACACUUCAUUGCAUCACCUAUGUUUCCACAUGUAUGCAUUUUUGUUUAUCCCAUAAUUUGUCUCUCUUCUUCUUCUUCUUCUUCUUCUUCUUCUUCUUCUUCUUUUAUUUUUUUAUUUUUAAGUUGCAUGUAGGACACCAGAUUCAUAAGAUGGGUAAAUCGCACCAUCGCCCUUGCACCUCA